rnacentral:rRNA from 1 species
UGGGGAAUAUUGCGCAAUGGGCGAAAGCCUGACGCAGCGACGCCGCGUGAGGGAUGAAGGUUUUCGGAUCGUAAACCUCUGUCAGAAGGGAAGAAACCGCACUGUGCUAAUCAGCAGUGCCUUGACGGUACCUUCAAAGGAAGCACCGACUAACUCCGUGCCAGCAGCCGCGGUAAUACGGAGGGUGCAAGCGUUAAUCGGAAUUACUGGGCGUAAAGCGCACGUAGGCUGCUUUGUAAGUCAGGGGUGAAAUCCCACGGCUCAACCGUGGAACUGCCUUUGAUACUGCUUAGCUUGAAUCCGGGAGAGGGUGGCGGAAUUCCAGGUGUAGGAGUGAAAUCCGUAGAUAUCUGGAGGAACAUCAGUGGCGAAGGCGGCCACCUGGACCGGUAUUGACGCUGAGGUGCGAAAGCGUGGGGAGCAAACAGG